rnacentral:rRNA from 1 species
GAUGAACGCUGGCGGCGUGCCUAAUACAUGCAAGUCGAGCGAACAGACGAGGAGCUUGCUCCUCUGACGUUAGCGGCUGACGGGUGAGUAACACGUGGAUAACCUACCUAUAAGACUGGGAUAACUUCGGGAAACCGGAGCUAAUACCGGAUAAUAUAUUGAACCGCAUGGUUCAAUAGUGAAAGACGGUUUUGCUGUCACUUAUAGAUGGAUCCGCGCCGCAUUAGCUAGUUGGUAAGGUAACGGCUUACCAAGGCGACGAUGCGUAGCCGACCUGAGAGGGUGAUCGGCCAGACUGGAAGUGAGAAACGGUCCAGACUCCUACGGGAGGCAGCAGUAGGGAAUCUUCCGCAAUGGGCGAAAGCCUGACGGAGCAACGCCGCGUGAGUGAUGAAGGUCUUAGGAUCGUAAAACUCUGUUAUUAGGGAAGAACAAAUGUGUAAGUAACUAUGCACGUCUUGACGGUACCUAAACAGAAAGCCACGGCUAACUACGUG